GAAAUUUCUUGCCUUGCACAUCAAGAUUAUAUUUCAGACCAAAAUGAAACUUCCUUUUCUCUUCUAUCUUAUGGUUUCUCUCUAUAAAUAGACUGAUUUUCCGCUUUAAACCCAUAAAAUCAAUCUCCCAUUAGUUUCUCCUUCUUGAGCUCAAUAUAAGAAAACGUACAUAUAUGAGCUUACUUCCCAAUCCCAAGACCAAGAAAUCAAGGAAAAUGAUUAAUUUCUCAUCAGCCAUCUUCAGUUGCUUUCUUCCUUCUUCAUCUUCAUCUUCUAACGUUUCAGAUGAUGCAGAAAUAUCCAACAUGAAAGGACCUGAUGCAGAGAAACCCAAAAGCAAAUCAAAAUCAUCAUCGUCAUCAUCAUCAAGUGCUCCUAUUGUAGUUUCUUACUUCCCUGUCAACCCAUCUAGGUCACUGUUAUAGUUGCAUUACGUUUUUUCGGAGCUCUAUUUUUAUUGGUAUAGCCAGGAGGUUUAAUCCAUCGAGCAAGCCGUAGAGCGAAAAGAUUUUUUGCUCUCCCUGCAAAGUGUGGUUCCUAUGAGAAUUGAGAUCAUUUAGCAGCCGAACCAACAACUUGAUUCGAGGAGUUCUAUUUAAUUAAUUGGAUAGAUCAGAAAAGGAACAUGUAAUUGAUGAUUUGUUAUUAAUUUUCACUAUUUUGCAGCAAUAAAAAGAUUUUCUUUUCUCAAUUUCUUUUUAUCCGUGAAUGCAAGAAAUGUUAAUGGUAUAAGGUUAAUACUAAGUUUAAUUUUUGUUUCUUCAUUUUACUCAUAAUAUUAUCACAUCAUUUCUCCAUCUGUGAGCUCAAGUGAACAAGAUUCUUAAAUUAUAGUUAGCACGUUGCUAUUUAUUUGUCUGCCAAUUCUGGAAUAUUGUUUUGUUUUUAUGAGAAUGCUA
rnacentral:lncRNA from 1 species